rnacentral:lncRNA from 7 species
AAGGUGUAAAAGAGAUGUUGAAAUAUUGUCUACAAUGAAGAGAAAUUACCUGGACACCUUUCAGCAGAAAUUGCUGUGUGCAAGCUGAUGUCUUUUUCCUUUUACAAAGGAUUUUAACAACCUUGUUGCAUAGGACUUAAAGAAAUCAAAUGUGUGGCACGAUACCGCAGUUCUUCAAAGCAUUAUGUGAACAGUACAGAUACAGAUGUCCUGAGUGCUUCACCUCAUUCACCCAACUGCACUUGAAGAUGUCCUUGGAAUGAGGAACACUUCAAAGAUUCAAGUCCAAGUUUCAAGUUCAAUGUGGUUGUUGAAGAGCACCAGUGUUUAAGCACUUUACUCCAGGCCUCUCUUCGGUUCUGAAAGCAUCAGAUAACAGCUGCAAGCUUUAAAAAGCAGCUGGAUAUAAGUGGUGUACCCUAUAAUCUGUUCAAAGCCUUUUGUACUGUAACACUUCUGUCUUUGAAACCAAUAAUCUCUUUUUUUUUGUUUCAAACUUUUUGAUGGAUUAUGUUUCUUGGAAUUGCCCAGACUCUCUAAACUGAGGUUUGUUUUGAGGAACUGUAGGGGCUGGGUUUUAAUUUGUCCCAGUUUUCUCCUCUUGCUGUAUUAUGCAAGCUUCUCAUUUUGUGUUUAUACCAUUAAGAUAUUGCUUAGGAAUACUAUUACUUGAAUAGUUCUGGAGAUCAAAUUGCCCAUGGAAAUACCACAUGCGAUAAUGCUGUUAUACUCUGAUUAUAUUAUAUGCUAUUGUGUAUUGUAAUUAGACAUAUUUUAAAAUAGUAUCCCCUAAGGCCAAUGAAAUCAUGUAAUUCAGAACUACUAGGUUAUCCUAAGCAGUCUGAAGGUUCUGGAUGAGUAGACCAGCUCCUGGAAGUCAGUUUCGUGGGAGACCUAUUGGACAACCCUGUGGAGAAAGCUGCUGGCAGCUACUACUGUCUGGGAAAUUGGUUAUAUAAUGUGUGAUGGAGUUUAAAGGGCCCAAGGGGAGCAUUUUGUUAACGAUAGGGAAUAAAACUGCCCAUAGGAAUACUGAGGAGCUGGAGGUAGGAAGCGGUUCCAGUGUUGAGAAUGUUUUGUCUUAGUUCUGACUGUAAGUCUUCUCUCAGGAAGAGAGGUGGAGUGGUUGGAUAUGUUUGUAGCUGCAUGCUGUUAUCUAAAACUACUUGUAUUUUUUAUGUAGACAAUACUUUGAAGCAAUUUCUAUGAAGUUAUGUGUUAAGCAUUGUUAUUAAUUGUAAGCAGUUGUUUGUAAUGCUUUGAACUAAGUAAAAUCACCUUCAGGUGAUUUUUCUUUUUUUUUCCCCCUCUAGUAUUAUCCUCACUAGUAUUGCUUCUGCACAUCCUUAACGGUACUAUGCUGAUACAACCUAUCUGAAUAAAGUGAAAUAAUGCUUCCUUUGCAGUGUUCAGAGUGCAGGCCUUAAUCAUCCUUAAUUUUUAAGUCUAAUCCUCAAGUUAGAACAAGUGUUUUUUUUAUCUUCUUGAGCAACAGAUAAGCUUCUUGUAGAACCACUAUUGCUGAAUGAGAAAUACCACCCUGGAUGUUUUGCAGCCCUCUCAGGGUGACUGAGGAAACUGUUAAAGACAUGGAAGUGGAUUGCUACUUGUGGCAUACUAGCAUGUAACACCGAUCUGUAACAGUAACUCCAUCACUAAAAAUCUUGGCAGGAAUGGUUGUGGUAACUGAAGCGUAAUGUAAAUGUAUCAAAAUGAUAGGAAUUAAUUUUGAAUUACACUUUCAUUUAGUUUUGUUCUAAUAACUUAAUUUUACUAGUAAAGAGUUUAAAAC